rnacentral:rRNA from 1 species
CUGCUGUUUGGUAGAGGAGCAUUCUGGCGGCAGCGAAGUCCGAAGGUAACUGACGAUGGAGCCUCCAGAAGAGAGGAUGCAGACAUAAGUAACGAUAAGGCUGGUUAAAUACCAGUCCGCCAUAAACCCAAGGUUUCCUGGGCAACGAUUUUCGCCCCAGGGUUAGCCGGGUCCUAAGCUAAGGCGUGAUGUCUACGCGAUGGAUAACAGGUUAAUAUUCCUGUGCUAGUGUGAUUAAGUACUGUUGUUGCGGGAGGUGGUCUUAGCAGACCUUAUUGACUUGGCAGGGAGGGCUUCGGCCUGACCGCGCUAGGGACGCCACUCGCCAAGAAAAGCGACAGAUCGUUUCCACAUUACCCGUACCGCAAACCGACUCAGGUGGGUGAGCGAAACACGCUCAGGCGCAAGAGUGAACCCUCGUUAAGGAACUCUGCAAUCUAGUCCCGUAACUUAGGGAGAAGGGAUGCCCCGCAAGGGGUCGCAGUAAAUUGGGUCAACCGACUGUUUAUCAAAAACACAGCAUUGUGCUAAGACGAAAGUCUACGUAUACGAUGUGACACGUGACCAAUGCGGAAAGAUUAAGGCAAGGGGUUAGCCGCAAGGCGAAGCUCUGAACCCAAGUCCCCGUGAAUGUCGGCCGUAACGAUAACGGUCCUAAGGUAGCGAAAUUCCUUGUCGGGUAAGUUCCGACCUGCACGAAUCGUGUAACGAGUUGACCGCUGUCUCAACGAGGCGCUCAGUGAAUUUGUAGUGGCGGUGUAGAUGCCGCCUACCCGCAGAAGGACGGAAAGACCCUAUGCACCUUAACUGUAGGCUGUCACUGACUCGCCGAUUUCAAUGCUCAGCAUAAGUGGGAGGCUUUGAAGCCUGACUUUCGGGUCAGGCAGAGCCAAAAGUGAGAUACCACCCUUUGGUGUUGGCGAUUCUAACUGUAUUUUACAGGACCAUGGCAGCUGGUCAGUUUUACUGGGGCGGUAUCCUCCCAAAAGGUAACGGAGGAGCGCGAGGGUGUGCUCAGCGCGGUUGGCAAUCGCGUGUCGAGAGCAUAGUCAUAAGCACGCCUAACUGUGAGACCAACAAGUCGAACAGAUACGAAAGUAGGCCUAAGUGAUCCGGCGGCUUAAAGUGGAAUUGCCGUCGCUUAACGGACAAAAGGUACGCUAGGGAUAACAGGCUGAUUUGACCCAAGAGUUCAUAUCGACGGUCAAGUUUGGCACCUCGAUGUCGGCUCGUCGCAUCCUGGGGCUGGAGAAGGUCCCAAGGGUCCGGCUGUUCGCCGGUUAAAGCGGCACGCGAGCUGGGUUCAGAACGUCGCGAGACAGUUCGGUCCUCUAUCCUCUGUGGGCGCAUGAUAAUUGAGGGGUUUUCUUCCUAGUACGAGAGGACCGGAAGUGACACACCUAUGGUGCAUCAGUUGACACGUCAGUGGCACGGCUGAGUAGCCAAGUGUGGAAGAGAUAAGCGCUGAAAGCAUCUAAGCGCCAAGCUCCCAAGAUUAGUUAUCACAGGACCGUGGAAGACUACCACGCGAUAGGGUGAGUGUACAAGCCAGGGUAACCUGCUCAGCAUAUCACUACUAAUAGUCCGUAC